AGAAUGAACGCUGGCGGCGUGCCUAACACAUGCAAGUCGGAUGUGCCGCAAGGUGCAUGGCAGACGGGUGAGUAACGCGUGGAAAACCUACCUCUUUGUGGGGAAUAACGCUCCGAAAGGAGUGGUAAUACCGCAUGAGACCAUGGACUGGGAUGUUCAUGGUGAAACCUGGGGACCGCAAGGCCUGGGGCAAGGAGAGGGUUCUGCGUCUGAUUAGCUAGUUGGUGGGGUAAUGGCCUACCAAGGCGACGAUCAGUAGCCGGCCUGAGAGGGUGAUCGGCCACACUGGAACUGAGACACGGUCCAGACUCCUACGGGAGGCAGCAGUGGGGAAUUUUGCGCAAUGGGCGAAAGCCUGACGCAGCAACGCCGCGUGGGUGAUGAAGGUCUUCGGAUCGUAAAACCCUGUCGUCAGGGACGAAGGUUGCGGAUUGAAUAGGUUCGUAACUUGACGGUACCUGGAGAGGAAGCCCCGGCUAACUCUGUGCCAGCAGCCGCGGUAAUACAGAGGGGGCAAGCGUUAUUCGGAAUUAUUGGGCGUAAAGGGCGCGUAGGCGGUGUUUUAAGUGAGAUGUGCAAUCCCCGAGCUUAACUUGGGAACUGCAUCUCAGACUGGAACGCUAGAGUACUGGAGAGGGUGGUAGAAUUCCACGUGUAGCGGUGAAAUGCGUAGAGAUGUGGAGGAACACCAGUGGCGAAGGCGGCCACCUGGACAGUAACUGACGCUGAGGCGCGAAAGUGUGGGUAGCAAACAGGAUUAGAUACCCUGGUAGUCCACGCUGUAAACGAUGAACACUUGGUGUGGCGGGAGUUGACCCCUGCCGUGCCGUAGCUAACGCGAUAAGUGUUCCGCCUGGGGAGUACGGUCGCAAGGCUG
rnacentral:rRNA from 1 species